CACGUAGGGCGCGAGCGUUGUCCGGAAUUAUUGGGCGUAAAGAGCUCGUAGGCGGCCUGUUGCGUCCGCUGUCGAAAGCCCGGGGCUUAACCCCGGGUCGCAGUGGAUACGGGCAGGCUAGAGGUAGGUAGGGGAGAAUGGAAUUCCCGGUGUAGCGGUGAAAUGCGCAGAUAUCGGGAGGAACACCGGUGGCGAAAGCGGCUUCCUGGUCCAGCACCGACGUUCAGGCACGAAAGCGUGGGGAGCAAACAGG
rnacentral:rRNA from 1 species